rnacentral:rRNA from 1 species
GCAGUCAGAGGCGAUGAAGGACGUGCUAAUCUGCGAUAAGCGUCGGUAAGGUGAUAUGAACCGUUAUAACCGGCGAUUUCCGAAUGGGGAAACCCAGUGUGAUUCGUCACACUAUCAUUAACUGAAUCCAUAGGUUAAUGAGGCGAACCGGGGGAACUGAAACAUCUAAGUACCCCGAGGAAAAGAAAUCAACCGAGAUUCCCCCAGUAGCGGCGAGCGAACGGGGAGGAGCCCAGAGCCUGAAUCAGUGUGUGUGUUAGUGGAAGCGUCUGGAAAGGCGUGCGAUACAGGGUGACAGCCCCGUACACAAAAAUGCACAUGCUGUGAGCUCGAUGAGUAGGGCGGGACACGUGGUAUCCUGUCUGAAUAUGGGGGGACCAUCCUCCAAGGCUAAAUACUCCUGACUGACCGAUAGUGAACCAGUACCGUGAGGGAAAGGCGAAAAGAACCCCGGCGAGGGGAGUGAAAAAGAACCUGAAACCGUGUACGUACAAGCAGUGGGAGCACGCUUAGGCGUGUGACUGCGUACCUUUUGUAUAAUGGGUCAGCGACUUAUAUUCUGUAGCAAGGUUAACCGAAUAGGGGAGCCGAAGGGAAACCGAGUCUUAACUGGGCGUUAAGUUGCAGGGUAUAGACCCGAAACCCGGUGAUCUAGCCAUGGGCAGGUUGAAGGUUGGGUAACACUAACUGGAGGACCGAACCGACUAAUGUUGAAAAAUUAGCGGAUGACUUGUGGCUGGGGGUGAAAGGCCAAUCAAACCGGGAGAUAGCUGGUUCUCCCCGAAAGCUAUUUAGGUAGCGCCUCGUGAAUUCAUCUCCGGGGGUAGAGCACUGUUUCGGCAAGGGGGUCAUCCCGACUUACCAACCCGAUGCAAACUGCGAAUACCGGAGAAUGUUAUCACGGGAGACACACGGCGGGUGCUAACGUCCGUCGUGAAGAGGGAAACAACCCAGACCGCCAGCUAAGGUCCCAAAGUCAUGGUUAAGUGGGAAACGAUGUGGGAAGGCCCAGACAGCCAGGAUGUUGGCUUAGAAGCAGCCAUCAUUUAAAGAAAGCGUAAUAGCUCACUGGUCGAGUCGGCCUGCGCGGAAGAUGUAACGGGGCUAAACCAUGCACCGAAGCUGCGGCAGCGACACUAUGUGUUGUUGGGUAGGGGAGCGUUCUGUAAGCCUGUGAAGGUGUCCUGUGAGGGAUGCUGGAGGUAUCAGAAGUGCGAAUGCUGACAUAAGUAACGAUAAAGCGGGUGAAAAGCCCGCUCGCCGGAAGACCAAGGGUUCCUGUCCAACGUUAAUCGGGGCAGGGUGAGUCGACCCCUAAGGCGAGGCCGAAAGGCGUAGUCGAUGGGAAACAGGUUAAUAUUCCUGUACUUGGUGUUACUGCGAAGGGGGGACGGAGAAGGCUAUGUUGGCCGGGCGACGGUUGUCCCGGUUUAAGCGUGUAGGCUGGUUUUCCAGGCAAAUCCGGAAAAUCAAGGCUGAGGCGUGAUGACGAGGCACUACGGUGCUGAAGCAACAAAUGCCCUGCUUCCAGGAAAAGCCUCUAAGCAUCAGGUAACAUCAAAUCGUACCCCAAACCGACACAGGUGGUCAGGUAGAGAAUACCAAGGCGCUUGAGAGAACUCGGGUGAAGGAACUAGGCAAAAUGGUGCCGUAACUUCGGGAGAAGGCACGCUGAUAUGUAGGUGAAGCGACUUGCUCGUGGAGCUGAAAUCAGUCGAAGAUACCAGCUGGCUGCAACUGUUUAUUAAAAACACAGCACUGUGCAAACACGAAAGUGGACGUAUACGGUGUGACGCCUGCCCGGUGCCGGAAGGUUAAUUGAUGGGGUUAGCGCAAGCGAAGCUCUUGAUCGAAGCCCCGGUAAACGGCGGCCGUAACUAUAACGGUCCUAAGGUAGCGAAAUUCCUUGUCGGGUAAGUUCCGACCUGCACGAAUGGCGUAAUGAUGGCCAGGCUGUCUCCACCCGAGACUCAGUGAAAUUGAACUCGCUGUGAAGAUGCAGUGUACCCGCGGCAAGACGGAAAGACCCCGUGAACCUUUACUAUAGCUUGACACUGAACAUUGAGCCUUGAUGUGUAGGAUAGGUGGGAGGCUUUGAAGUGUGGACGCCAGUCUGCAUGGAGCCGACCUUGAAAUACCACCCUUUAAUGUUUGAUGUUCUAACGUGGACCCGUAAUCCGGGUUGCGGACAGUGUCUGGUGGGUAGUUUGACUGGGGCGGUCUCCUCCUAAAGAGUAACGGAGGAGCACGAAGGUUGGCUAAUCCUGGUCGGACAUCAGGAGGUUAGUGCAAUGGCAUAAGCCAGCUUGACUGCGAGCGUGACGGCGCGAGCAGGUGCGAAAGCAGGUCAUAGUGAUCCGGUGGUUCUGAAUGGAAGGGCCAUCGCUCAACGGAUAAAAGGUACUCCGGGGAUAACAGGCUGAUACCGCCCAAGAGUUCAUAUCGACGGCGGUGUUUGGCACCUCGAUGUCGGCUCAUCACAUCCUGGGGCUGAAGUAGGUCCCAAGGGUAUGGCUGUUCGCCAUUUAAAGUGGUACGCGAGCUGGGUUUAGAACGUCGUGAGACAGUUCGGUCCCUAUCUGCCGUGGGCGCUGGAGAAUUGAGGGGGGCUGCUCCUAGUACGAGAGGACCGGAGUGGACGCAUCACUGGUGUUCGGGUUGUCAUGCCAAUGGCACUGCCCGGUAGCUAAAUGCGGAAGAGAUAAGUGCUGAAAGCAUCUAAGCACGAAACUUGCCCCGAGAUGAGUUCUCCCUGACUCCUUGAGAGUCCUGAAGGAACGUUGAAGACGACGACGUUGAUAGGCCGGGUGUGUAAGCGCAGCGAUGCGUUGAGCUAACCGGUACUAAUGAACCGUGAGGCUUAACCUUACAACGCCGAAG